AUUCUCUCAUUUUCAUCUGCUGUUAGACCAUUAGGUGUCUCUUUCGGUCUCUAAAUGAUGAUGAGGCCUCGGAUGACCCGAAGCAGUCUUUCUAUGCUUGCGGUAUCAACGGAGAACUGAAGCUCAAAACGAGAAGCGGUUUGGCUCCAGGAUUCGGCAACGGAUUCUUCUCGGCAGUGCAAGGUGAGUUUCGCCCGGCCACUGUUUCCUUUCAAUAUAUGAGCUGUGUCAUGGUCAACAGUUGCUCAGAUUUGGCAGAGUGUUACAACUUUCCCACAAAAAAUUUGCGUUCCCUUUUUGCCUCAGCGUGGCCACGGCUACUUUUGUUGUUUGAGGAGCUGAUGAUGGCUGCCGGAGCACCGCCAUCAUCAGCUUGGUGGAAGUUGCAGUCAGUCUCCGGUGGCUGAACCUUAGACAGAGCAAAAAAGGUCUUUUUCUUAUUUGAACUUUGAACUAGACCGCGACGGUCAAUACAUGUCAUCUGCUUAAAGAAAAUCUUGCAAUACUUAUUUAAUGGAAGGGCAUGAUAUAGGAAUUUUAUGUAGAAUUCCAUAGAAUAUGGUAUAUCUUUUUCAUUUGUCUGAGUUGGAUAUACCAGUGGAUAUGCUUUUACUUUCCCCUUUAUUAUAUAUAUUCAGCUCAAUUCUGUUAAAAAACACCAACUCAAACUCGAGUCUCUUAGAAAAACACCAACUUUAGGUUGGGUCUCAAAUUUAACUUAAGCUUUUUCUUGUCUCGUAAAAAAACAUUAAUUUUAGCUCAUUACCUAAUUUUGGCCUAUAAACCAAAAAAGAAAAAGAAGCAAUUCUGCUCUAAAUUUUUUUAUUGAAAUCGUAAACACCAUCAGUCAGCAUUCAAAUCCGGCCCUUGUCAAGUUUCCAUUUAAUAUGAUAUUAAAGAUUAGAAUAUUCAAUGUGUCAUUUUAUGUGUACUCGGUGAAAAUUUGAUGGAAACUUGACAUGACUUAGAUUCAGGUGUCAACUAAAAGUAUGAGACAAUAAAAAAGUUUGGGCCUAGAUUGGGACCCAGCCUAGAUUGGUGUUUUUGAAUGACAUAAAAUAAAGUUUGGAUCAUAAUUAGGACACGAUUUAAAGUGGUUCUUUUUCAUGAGAUUGAAAGAAGUUUGGGCCAAAAUUGGAACAUGGCCUAAAGUUUAUUAUUUUUUAAAGGAAUUAAGUCUAAAUAUAUCUUGCAAAAUGCUAAGGGAAAACGAAACUUUUAUUAGACGUCCAAGUAUACAUUAUAGAGGGCAAUUAUGGUUGAUGCAAUUACUAUGUGUGGUCUAGGUCUUUCUUUCUUUUUUUGGGGGGUGAGCAUGGUUCUAGGAUAAAAUUGGAAAUCCGAAUGAACCAUUUCAAUUCCAGGGUAUGCAGGGUAGACUCCAAGUUCCAAAAUUGGGGAACCAGUUCUAACAGGUAGGUUCAAAAAAUUGAGGACUCGGAACUUGUCUUUGUGUUUUUCUUAUUCUAUAUUUUUGUGUAAUCUUGCAGUAUUCCAAAGCAUCUAAUGAUGAGGGUGUGAUUUAAAACCACUAGUCUAAGCUUUCAUUUUCGACGAUAUCCAUAACCGAUAGUUUUAUUUGUUCAGAUUUCAUAUUCUUCUAGAUUCUAAAUAUGAGUUAAGGCUGGUAGACUAUAGCAGUAAACGGUACUCAUUAGAGAUGAUAAUUCAAUUAAGAAUAUAUGUGGAACAUAAAUAGAUCUCGAAAUCUAUGAAUUUAUGAUAAAGUAAAUUUUAGGUUUUAAGGUAUGCAGAGUAGGUUUUUUAUUCCAAAAAUUGGAAAAGCAAUUUCAAC
rnacentral:lncRNA from 1 species